rnacentral:rRNA from 1 species
GACGAACGCUGGCGGCGUGCCUAAUACAUGCAAGUAGAACGCUGAAGGAGGAGCUUGCUUCUCUGGAUGAGUUGCGAACGGGUGAGUAACGCGUAGGUAACCUGCCUGGUAGCGGGGGAUAACUAUUGGAAACGAUAGCUAAUACCGCAUAAGGGUAGAUGUUGCAUGACAUUUGCUUAAAAGGUGCAAUUGCAUCACUACCAGAUGGACCUGCGUUGUAUUAGCUAGUUGGUGGGGUAACGGCUCACCAAGGCGACGAUACAUAGCCGACCUGAGAGGGUGAUCGGCCACACUGGGACUGAGACACGGCCCAGACUCCUACGGGAGGCAGCAGUAGGGAAUCUUCGGCAAUGGACGGAAGUCUGACCGAGCAACGCCGCGUGAGUGAAGAAGGUUUUCGGAUCGUAAAGCUCUGUUGUAAGAGAAGAACGAGUGUGAGAGUGGAAAGUUCACACUGUGACGGUAUCUUACCAGAAAGGGACGGCUAACUACGUG